rnacentral:misc_RNA from 1 species
AAGUCGUAACAAGGUUUCCGUAGGUGAACCUGCGGAAGGAUCAUUAGCAAAAAGCGUGGUGGACAGAAAUGUCUACUGAAACUUGUGAACCGCGGGGCUUAGCCCUGUGCAACAAAUACAAGAGAAUGAUUUUGGCAGUAAUAAAUAACAACUUUCAACAAUGGAUCUCUUGGUUCCU